CCUACGGGGGGCUGCAGUGGGGAAUAUUGCGCAAUGGGCGAAAGCCUGACGCAGCGACGCCGCGUGGGUGAUGAAGGCCUUCGGGUUGUAAAGCCCUGUCGGGUGGAACGAACGAUCUGGCGGCGAAUAACCGCCGGGUGUGACGGUACCACCGAAGGAAGCCCCGGCUAACUACGUGCCAGCAGCCGCGGUAAGACGUAGGGAGCUACCGUUGUUCGGGUUUACUGGGCGUAACGGGCGCGUAGGCUGCGAAAGCCCGCGGCUUAACCGAGGUCGCGCAUCCGAUACUGUCUGGCUCGAGUCUAGGAGAGGAAAGCGGAAUUCCCAGUGUAGCGGUGAAAUGCGUAGAUAUUGGGAGGAACACCGGUGGCGAAGGCGGCUUUCCGGACUAGUACUGACGCUGAGGCGCGAAAGCUAGGGGAGCGAACGGGAUUAGAUACCCUUGUAGUC
rnacentral:rRNA from 1 species